UCACCUUCUAAGUGACCUCCUCACAGAUGCUGGCACGUGCUACUAGUUGGCUCUAAAGUUAUUUCUUCUUAAGGCUAAACAAACCCUCUCCUUUUAUCGCCUCUACACAGGACCUGAACAUUGAAAUGGAUGUAACACAGGCAUAGAGGAAUAUACAAUCUCCAUAGCUUUCCAAGAUUUCCAUAUCUGUCAAGGGACCUGCAGGCAGGAGAGAGGCGUGAGGAUUGCAGUAUGAUUGCCCAAGAGGAGCGAACGAGCUUUCAGGCCAAAGGAUUUAUUUUAUAGCACAUAAGGAUAAAAGAUCCGCACUGAAGAUUUUGGAAGAUGGACAAAUCCUUCAAAGGGAUAGCUGGACUGCAGGUUUGGUCAUUAAAAGCUAGAGAGACAAGAGACGUACACCUUUCUGGAAACUCAGACUGAAAAGUGGUGAAGAAAAGGACAUAAGAGAAGAUAACUUGCUGGAAGACCAAAAUGGCAAUACCUAGAGAAAUUAUGGAAUUAUGUUUAAAUAGGGAAAUUUUUCAAACCAUAGCUUCAAAUGAUUAAAUGCAUGAAAUAAAGUGUGAAUUAUUAG